CCAAGUCCAGGCUUGGCUACGUUCUCGGCCAUCCUGACCCUCAAUCCCAUACAGAUGCCCUCAAAGAAGAGAGAACUGGCAGAGAGCAGAUGGGGUAGAAGACCUGAGCCCUAAUCUGGAGCCAGCCGCAGCCCUGCCCACGUGAAGCCGCAUCUGUCGGCCAGCAGCAUCCACACCCUGACCAAUUCACACGGGAAUUCCAGAGACAAUGAGAAGGGCCUCCCGGGACCUUAAGAAUGUCUGGCAGACUCUUCCAUGAAGCAGGAAAUUUGAAGGACUGUCCCACCUAUUCUGGCAAAAUUCAUCAGACGCUUUCUUUUGC